rnacentral:rRNA from 1 species
AGAGUUUGAUUAUGGCUCAGGAUGAACGCUGGCGGCGUGCCUAACACAUGCAAGUCGAGCGAUCUCUUCGGAGAGAGCGGCGGACGGGUGAGUUACGCGUGGGUAACCUGCCCUGUACACACGGAUAACAUACCGAAAGGUAUACUAAUACGGGAUAACAUACGAAAGUCGCAUUGCUUUUGUAUCAAAGCUCCGGCGGUACAGGAUGGACCCGCGUCUGAUUAGCUAGUUGGUAAGGUAAUGGCUUACCAAGGCAACGAUCAGUAGCCGACCUGAGAGGGUGAUCGGCCACACUGGAACUGAGACACGGUCCAGACUCCUACGGGAGGCAGCAGUGGGGAAUAUUGCACAAUGGGCGAAAGCCUGAUGCAGCAACGCCGCGUGAGCGAUGAAGGCCUUCGGGUCGUAAAGCUCUGUCCUCAAGGAAGAUAAUGACGGUACUUGAGGAGGAAGCCCCGGCUAACUACGUGCCAGCAGCCGCGGUAAUACGUAGGGGGCUAGCGUUAUCCGGAAUUACUGGGCGUAAAGGGUGCGUAGGUGGUUUUUUAAGUCAGAAGUGAAGGGCUACGGCUCAACCGUAGUAAGCUUUUGAAACUAGAGAACUUGAGUGCAGGAGAGGAGAGUAGAAUUCCUAGUGUAGCGGUGAAAUGCGUAGAUAUUAGGAGGAAUACCAGUAGCGAAGGCGGCUCUCUGGACUGUAACUGACACUGAGGCACGAAAGCGUGGGGAGCAAACAGGAUUAGAUACCCUGGUAGUCCACGCCGUAAACGAUGAGUACUAGGUGUCGGGGGUUACCCCCCUCGGUGCCGCAGCUAACGCAUUAAGUACUCCGCCUGGGAAGUACGCUCGCAAGAGUGAAACUCAAAUGAAUUGACGGGG